ACCUCAGUGGUUUAAUGGUAGCACGCGUCUCCGUUAAGGAUGAAACACUCGUUCGACUCCCGUCUGAGGUG